rnacentral:rRNA from 1 species
AUUGAACGCUGGCGGCAGGCCUAACACAUGCAAGUCGAACGGGCACUUCGGUGUCAGUGGCAGACGGGUGAGUAACGCGUGGGAACAUACCUCUUGGUUCGGAACAACACAGGGAAACUUGUGCUAAUACCGGAUAAGCCCUUACGGGGAAAGAUUUAUCGCCGAGAGAUUGGCCCGCGUCUGAUUAGCUAGUUGGUGUGGUAAAAGCGCACCAAGGCGACGAUCAGUAGCUGGUCUGAGAGGAUGAUCAGCCACAUUGGGACUGAGACACGGCCCAAACUCCUACGGGAGGCAGCAGUGGGGAAUAUUGGACAAUGGGCGCAAGCCUGAUCCAGCCAUGCUGCGUGAGUGAUGAAGGCCCUAGGGUUGUAAAGCUCUUUUGUACGGGAAGAUAAUGACGGUACCGUAAGAAUAAGCCCCGGCUAACUUCGUGCCAGCCGCCGCAGU